rnacentral:lncRNA from 1 species
CUGGGAUUUGCUGCUCAGAACCUGAGUUCACUGAGACAUCAGGAGCAAGCACUGGAGGCCGGGUGCUGCUGGAUCCUGAUGGGAGCCAUGCAGGACUUGACCAUGGCCUGCACACACUUCUUCCCAGGAGAAGGGGAAUGAGGAAGGACUGGCCCCUGGGAUUUGCUGCUCAGUUCACUGAGACAUCAGGAGCAAGCACUGGAGGCCGGUGCUGCUGGACCCAGAUGGGAGCCAUGCAGGACUUGACCAUGGCCUGCAUACACUUCUUCCCAGGAGAAGGGGAAUGAGGAAGAACUGGACGAUGAAUUUUAACCUCCACACCACAAGCACUGGGGUAGAAGACUGCUGCUGGGUGAAGAAGAGACUAGACUUGAUCAUUGAGCAGCCACUCACUGAUAUCUUCAGUGCUGCAUGAGGAAGCAGAGUUUAUUCUUCUGGAUUUGGUGGUGGAUUCUGGUGAAGAUACAGAUGGAUGCUCUGGCUGAGUCGCUACCUUGAAAUGAAAAUGGGAGGUAAACUCUCCCAUAGAUGAAUCUUCCUCAUUUUGAAGAACCGGCCCCUGAGAUUUGCUGCUCAGAACCUGAGUUCACUGAGACAUAGGGAGCAAGCACUGGAGAUCCGGUGCUGCUGGACCCAGGUGGGCGCCAUGCAGGACUUGACCAUGGCCUGCACACACUUCUUCCCAGGAGAAGGGGAGUGAGGAAGAACCGGCCCCUGGGAUUUGCUGCUCAGAACCUGAGUUCACUGAGACAUCAGGAGCAAGCACUGGAGGCCAGGUGCUGCUGGACCCAGAUGGGAGCCAUGCAGGACUUGACCAUGGCCUGCACACACUUCUUCCCAGGAGAAGGGGAAUGAGGAAGGACUGGCCCCUGGGAUUUGCUGCUCAGGACCUGAGUUCACUGAGACAUCAGGAGCAAGCACUGGAGGCUGGGUGCUGCUGGACCCAGAUGGGAGCCAUGCAGGACUUGACCAUGGCCUGCACACACUUCUUCCCAGGAGAAGGGGAAUGAGGAAGAACUGGAUGCUGAGACAUGCCCCCGCGAUCCCAAGACCACCAGGUACCGUGAGCAAUCACUGGAGCUGGAACACUGCUGCCUGAGGAAGAGAAGAAGUGCAGGCUUGUCAUUGUCUAUGCUGUUACUUGUGGUUCCCGGGUCUUCAGAGAGGAUGCACAAGAACGGGAGAACCGGCCCCUGGGAUUUGCUGCUCAGGACCCGAGUUCACUGAGACAUCAGGAGCAAGCACUGGAGGCCGGUGCUGCUGGAUCCAGAUGGGAGCCAUGCAGGACUUGACCAUGGCCUGCACACACUUCUUCCCAGGAGAAGGGGAAUGAGGAAGGCAGACUGGCAUCACAGGACCCUUCAGAGUAUUAAUGCAGACCUUCGUGACAGAGGUCCAGUACCAAGUGCUCAGCGGUGCUAAGGUCCAGGGACAGGAGGCAGAAGGGCGGGUUCCAGCCCGCUCAGCUGGCCAUGGUAAAAUACUAGCUGGUGUCCUAGGGCAGCAAGGCGCCUCCCUCUCCAGGUUAUGAAAACAUUGCAGUCUGAGUUUCUGUUGGGACCUGAGAAGAAGUCAAGGAAGCCCUGCAAGGCACUCACAGCUGCUCCUGCUGUCUGUAAUCGGCCGCCAUCUUCCUUCAUUCUCUGGUGACUGAGGUCCAGGAACAGGAAGCAGAGGGGCAGGUUCCACCCCGCUCAGCUGGCCAUGGUAAUCUAUCUACUAGCUGGUGUCCUACUCUCCAGCUUCUGAAGAGAAAACACUGCAGUUGCAGUUUCUGUUGGGGCCUGAGAAGAAGUCAAGGAAGCCCUGCAAGGCACUCACAGCUGCUCCUGCUGUCUAAUUGGUCACUAUCUUCCGCCAUUGCUAGGAAUCAUGAGCAGGAGGAGAGUGGCGCUGUGAGUUUUGAAACCGUGUCCUCAUGGUGGCAGUAGAGCUCCAAACAAGAGCUUAACCGGCCCCUGGGAUUUGCUGCUCAGGACCCGAGUUCAGUGAGACAUCAGGAGCAAGCACUGGAGGCCGGUGCUGCUGGACCCAGAUGGGAGCCAUGCAGGACUUGACCAUGGCCUGCACACACUUCUUCCCAGGAGAAGGGGAAUGAGGAAGAACUGGACCAGAAGAUUUAACUUCCAUACCACAAGCACUGGGGUAGAAGACUGCUGCUGGGUGAAGAAGAGACUAGACUUGAUCAUUGAGCAGCCACUCACUGAUAUCUUCAGUGCUGCAUGAGGAAGCAGAGUUUAUUCUUCUGGAUUUGGUGGUGGAUUCUGGUGAAGAUACAGAUGGAUGCUCUGGCUGAGUCGCUACCUUGAAAUGAAAAUGGGAGGUAAACUCUCCCAUAGAUGAAUCUUCUUCAUUUUGAAGAACUGGCCCCUGGGAUUUGCUGCUCAGAACCUGAGUUCACUGAGACAUCAGGAGCAAGUACUGGAGGCCGGUGCUGCUGGACCCAGAUGGGAGCCAUGCGGGACUUGACCAUGGCCUGCACACACUUCUUCCCAGGAGAAGGGGAGUGAGGAAGAACCGGCCCCUGGGAUUUGCUGCUCAGGACCCGAGUUCACUGAGACAUCAGGAGCAAGCACUGGAGGCCGGGUGCUGCUGGACCCAGAUGGGAGCCAUGCAGGACUUGACCAUGGCCUGCACACACUUCUUCCCAGGAGAAGGGGAAUGAGGAAGAAAGGCUCAUGGCGUCUAUGUCGUAAAUGAGCUGUGGAUUUGCUAUGCCCCUUCUCUUCAGCAACCCUUAUUUUUCUUGCCUGUACAUCUCUACUGUGGGAAUCACAGGGAAGCUGCUGCAGCACAACUUGAAAUAGAAAGCUGGAUGGUAUGAAUUUAGGACAAGAACAUGAGAAGAAGGGCUCCAGAGAGGAUUCAUUAAGAGCAUUUUCUGCUCUUCCAGAAGCAUCCGAGUUUGGUGUGGGCACCCAAGUCAUUAGGCUCAGAGCUGCUUGGCACCAGGAGAUGUCAGGAAGCUGGUAUAAAUCCUCAUGGGACUUGAAGGGCGAGUGGCCUGAAGUGGGUCACAAGUGAUCAGGGAUUCUCAAACUGCUGUUCCCAGCUUGCAUUUAAAAAUGGGAAAUAACUCAAAAGACAAUUGCAAACUCUCUGCAGUCAAGAUGGCUCCUGCUUGUAAUCUCAGUGUUCAGAAGGUCUGGAUCCCCUAGGGUUGCCACCAGGAUCACCAGAAAGUUUGUUAAAUAGAGAAGCACUUGAUAGAAGGCACCUGGAUAAGGAUGGACAGAAAUCAGAGGCCUUGGCUAUCUGGAUUCUGACUUCUUCAAAAAGAUGAGAUGAUAGAUGAGAAAAGCCCGUCCGUGGUGUUAGAGACUUUGGCCCCACACCCAUGCCGUGCAGCUCUGCCAGGGCCUACCUGCUUGACUCAACCCUUUUUGUUCCCUCACCCUCUCUGGGUAACUGAGAGAUUUAUACCUUGGCUAUCCUGGGA